UCGUGGUCCUUCAUCCUACCCACCACCCCCUUCUUUUCAGUUCACGUGCAGCCGCGCGGACCGGGAGCCGGUCAGCCCCCCCACCCCCCGAGGGUCGCGCGCUCGCAGCAUCAGCACAGCGGCGCGGGGGUCUAGAGCGCGGCGGACGGUUCGCGCGCGUUGCUGCUGCUGCUGCACAACAAAGGGCCAGGCUGUGGGCGGAGUGCGCGCGGCGGAGCAUCCCUCCCUCGCGAGACGGGCCUUGCAGUAUCUUGCAUCCUCUCUUGCAAGCACCAUUCGACACACAGCGACACACAACCUGCGCAGAGCGACACCUGACACCAGCUGAUGCCCCAGUUCCUACCUGGCAUUCGGAGCUCCGGUUCCGCAGCCGUGGGGCGGUCGCAGUGAGUAACACGGGAUGUCAAGUAACACUGUCUUCACAAGGACACAGAGCACCAAAGGAGCAAAGGCGACAGGGCAGAUUGCAGCCCUUCAAGCGCUUGUUCUGCAAGAGGAAGAAGAAGGAGCGGGACAGCUGCUUCCCAGAGGUGGGGCUGAAGGCCAGCAGCUCCACGGGUGACGUGUGUAACGGGUUCUUCGACGAUGACGGAACCAAGCAGCAUCUGAGGGAACUGAAGGCCCUCGGCUACAGGGCUGUGUCGCACGACAGUGUGUUUGUUCCUGAGGGGCCUAACGGAGCAGAGAGCAUGUCUCAGGAGAAUGUGUCAGACAGAGUGAGGAGCCUGCAGAAGCAAAUAGCACAGAGCAUCAAGUUUGGGCAGAAGGUCUCAUCCCUGAGCAAGAGUGACGAUGCAGAUGACAGCUCUGAUGAAGAGGGGGCACCCAGGAGGUCUUUGCAGGUGUCAGCCCAGGUGGAAGCAGAGCCAGCGGAUGUCAAGGUUGGAGCUGAAGGUGCCGUCCAAAGUGGCUUCCAGGCCGAGCCCCAGAGUGGGCUCCACAGUGGCUCCAUGAGGACACCGGUGAAGUCCCCACGGUCCAAACGAGCACCUCCGGCAGCCGGCACUAUAGAGUCCGUCAAUCUGGACUCCGUACCCCUCUUAUUCUCCUGCCUCGACAGCAGCGCUGCCAGACACAAGCUCUCUGUGAAACCCAAGAACCAGAGGCUGUCCCACAAGCACAGGCGCUUUACCCAGGACACGCAGAACAUGUGCCCCACUGAGGGGCUGCAAGAGGAGAGUGAGGCACAAAGCCCUGCACAUACAAUCAGCAACAGAUCCAGAGCAGAGGGAGAAGCACCUUCGUGGUCAGAAGAUGAACAUCUCAGCACAUUUCCAGAGAAAUCAAAUAAACCAAAGCUUCAGGCAGAGACAAGCUCAUUGGAUGUUGACUGGAGAUGUGUAGAACAGCAGGAGACCAGGAGGGAGUUGGAAUCAGAGGGAAACAUACAAAAUGCAGAGGAAGAAAUGAAGCAAAAGCAGAGAAAAGGGGAAGAACUAAAAGUGCAUGAAACAGAGGAGAGAAAAAGGGGGGAAGAGAAGAAGGUCACAUUGAGAGAGGAGGAAGAGACUAAGAGAAGGAAAGAUGAGGACGGGGGAGAAGAACAAAGCAGAAAUGAAGAACUGAGGCAGCAGGAAAUGUUAACGGAACUCCAGCAUUUGAAAGGCGAGAGGCUGCGAACUGAGGAGGAAAGCAGGAGGAAGAAGAAAGAGGAGAAGAGGCUUCAUGAGUUAGAAGAGCAGAGGGUGCAACGAGACAGAGAGGAAGAACAACAAAGACAGGCAGAGAAGAAGAGAAUGGAGGAGGAGGAGGAGAGGCAACAGCAAGAGCAAGACAAACAGCUGGAAGAGGCUGAAGAGCAAAAAUGUCCCAGUGAGGUAAGUCCAGUGGAAAAAGCCCGGCACUGUUCAGAAGAGGGAACUCAACCCAAGGAAUGGAAACGGAAGGCUGAGGAGCUCCGCUGGAAAGAGAUGGAGGAGCGGCAGAGGCCUUUCACCUUCAAAGUGUCAUCUGGAGAGAAACAGAUCCUAUUCCAGCGAGUCAAUCUGUCACCUGUGACGCCCUCCAGCCAACAGGGCAGCUCUAAUGAGUCAAAACUGUCCAAGAGUCCACCUGUGGGGUCCACAGAGUCACCCACCCUGCCUUCCUCCCUGUUCGUUCCCCACACGGCCAUCCUUGUGACUGGGGCUCAGCUCUGUGGAGCUGCAGUGAACUUGGACCAGAUAAAAGAUCCUGCUUGCAAGUCGCUCCUUGGUCUGACGGAGGACAAGAAGGCAAUGGGGCUUCCCUUGAACAAAGGGCCCGGUAAGAACUCACCGGAGCGCAAGUCCACCAAAACCAAAUCCCUGAACGAGUCUUCCGCUGAUCAGUCGAGCUCUGCAGUGCUAGCAGAAUGGGCCACUAUUCGCUCCAAGAUCUUCAAACGAGCUGAAAACGGGAGUGUCGAGGAUAAGGACACACGGCACCUGAACCAGCCCUUGAGUGAAGAUCUCAGUCGGAAACCGGUCUCCGUUUCCCACAGUAACCUCCGAAAAACCGUAUCUGCGAAUGCAAAGUUCUCCAUUACACCGGCUCGACAGAAAUUUCCAGAUUCCAGCAAGGCCUCCGAGGCAUUGAAUCACAUAGAGAAGGAUGGUGGGAACACCAAGUCUUCCUCUCCUGACACAGGAUCCCCUCCUCCGGUAUCCCCAGGUGAAAAGUCUCAGAGCAGGGUCAGUAAGACGGUGCGGAUUCUGGACAGAACAGAAGGAUGCGUGUUUGCCAAAGACCUCCCGUCCUUCCUGGUGCCCAGCCCUCCUCAUGUGUCCCCUAGGAUUAGGUCGCAGUCAGAAGCCCUGAGUCCUGCAGACUCAGACUCUAGCUCCGACAGCAAAGGCCAGAGCAGUGAAGACAAGGCUUCCCCAUUCGGCAUCAAGCUGAGGAGAACAAACUACUCCCUGCGCUUCCGCAAUGAUCAGCCCGUGGAGAAAAGGAAGAAGCGCUACAGUGCCGGCGACAGCUUUGAUGGAAUUCCAGCUCCUCUGACCUCCAUCGACGCCGACUCUGACACCUCGGUGCUGUCAGACAAAUCUAGCCCCUCGUCUCCCCUCCGUAACGUGUUGGGAGCAGCUGUGGGGCGACUCUCUCAUGUGGCUGUGGGCUGCGACAGCGACAGGCUGCUCUCCAGGCCGAUGCACCACAAGCCACUGGUAGCUCCAAAGCCCGGCAGCGGCACCCCACCAUCCUCCUCGCAGAGUCCAGAUGACAGUGCAGCACCAGGCGCAGCUGGAACCUCCAAUGCUCACAUGGGAAAGCGGGAAACGGGAAAGGGCCAGGAGAGCUCUGGUCUGCAGCCAAGAGCCCAGCAGGCGGAAGAUGGACCCAAGGAACGCAAGUCUUUCUUCCCAACCAUCAGCAUGCCGUGGAGGGAGAAAGGGGACCGAAGAGCUGAGGUCCUCAGGCGAGAAAAGCCUUUCUUGCAGAGUAGACAUUCACUGGACAGCGGGCGGCUUCAAGGGAAGGAAGUGGCGUCUCAAUGGACCGACAGCGAAAGGGCCCCAGAAAAGGAGGCAGGGCCACUGUGGAUCACACUGGCGCUUCAGAAACAAAAAGGGUUCCGAGAGCAGCAGCAGAGCCGAGAGGAACACCGGCACAAGAGGGAGGUCCGGCUGGCUGAGAAGCAGUCCAGGGAACGCAGUAGUGACCUCAGUAGCCCAGGCAGCGGGGAAGGAGACGACAGCAGCGGCAUGAGCAGCGCUUCAACACAGAAAGCACCGGAAGGGGACAGGGACAAAGUGGACAAUCCGCUGAGCCUGUUCGAGCGCAGGGAGCACCUGAGGAAAGCCAACACCCUGCCCGGCUCUGUCACAGUGGAGAUCGCAGAUGUUGCCACUUCAGCUCCGCCAGCAAAGGACUCAGUCAAGCGCUUUCCAUCCACAGAGCCCGUUCAGGUCUCCACAGAGCCAGCAUGGCUCGCUCUUGCCAAACGCAAGGCGAAGGCCUGGAGUGACUGCCCUCAGAUCAUCAAAUCUGAAGUGGUCCCUGUAAUCCACGAUUCAUGUCUGGAUGUGUGGGAUGAUUGUUGGGAAUGAGAUGCCCCCUGGAGAAUGAGCUGAGGAACGGCGGCGCCCCCUGCUGGAGCAGGAGCUUCACUUCCGCUGGAGUGGCUCAGUGCUGACGGAGCUGAGGGCGGCGAGUCGCCUCUACCGCGUUACCAUUCCCUUGUGUGGUUUGUACAAAGGGGGAGUGUGCAGCGCUCUUGGAGCUCCCACGAUGCAUUGGCUGCCGUUUGGUUCUUAUCCUCACUAACGUGCGACAAUUUAAACAGUGUUACUGUGAACUUUUGUUAACAUUUGCACUUUAUGUUCUACUGCUACUUAUUCUGAAUAGAAUUACAUGACAUUAAAGAAAGAAAUGUAGAGAAAUUCAUGAGCAGUCAUUGAUUGUUUGGGUUCUUCUGUGACAACGGUUUUUCUUCGUCCUUCCACCCACUGUGUGUUUUGUUUUUUGUCCACAUGAGGCCAUCCAUCUCUGGUUCCACUGUAGCGCACUGCUUUGAGCCCACAACUAGGGAGUGCUGCCACAGCACAGGGGAAGAGAAGAGCUCUCCAGGCAGUUGCAGCGAAGCCUUUAGGGAUCCGU